CAAGGAUGAAGUAGCCAUGCAAGAUCCUCUGAUUGCUAGGCUGGAAAACCCAGGAGGGUUUGCCCAGCCUUGCUUAAGAACAUCUUUCCUAGAAAUGAAUGGAGAAUUUCUGUGAUACUCCCCUCCUUGCUUCUAAGAGGAAGUGCAGAAAUAAAUGUGGCUUCCACAUCUCUUCUCUUCUGCAUUCAGAGCCAAUGCUCUACCGCCUGCACUGUGGUCUCCAUCAAAAAUCUUCAUCCCUCUGGUUAAUCCUGUUCCACUGCUGGCAGAGAUGAUGUUGCUUUGCUAUCCACUUCCUCUGUUCCUCACCUACUUUCAUGUUGCUGGUGAGAUUUCAUGAUAAAAGAACAACAUCUGCCUG
rnacentral:lncRNA from 1 species